CCUUCGGGGUACACGAGCGGCGAACGGGUGAGUAACACGUGGGUGAUCUGCCUCGCACUCUGGGAUAAGCCUGGGAAACUGGGUCUAAUACCGGAUAUGACCUUACAUCGCAUGGUGUUUGGUGGAAAGAUUUAUCGGUGCGAGAUGGGCCCGCGGCCUAUCAGCUUGUUGGUGGGGUAAUGGCUUACCAAGGCGACGACGGGUAGCCGGCCUGAGAGGGCGACCGGCCACACUGGGACUGAGACACGGCCCAGACUCCUACGGGAGGCAGCAGUGGGGAAUAUUGCACAAUGGGCGAAAGCCUGAUGCAGCGACGCCGCGUGAGGGAUGACGGCCUUCGGGUUGUAAACCUCUUUCGACAGGGACGAAGCGCAAGUGACGGUACCUGUAGAAGAAGCACCGGCCAACUACGUG
rnacentral:rRNA from 1 species